rnacentral:rRNA from 1 species
UACGUAGGGUGCGAGCGUUGUCCGGAAUUAUUGGGCGUAAAGAGCUUGUAGACGGUUUGUCGCGUCUGCUGUGAAAAUCCGGGGCUCAACCCCGGACUUGCAGUGGGUACGGGCAGACUAGAGUGUGGUAGGGGAGACUGGAAUUCCUGGUGUAGCGGUGGAAUGCGCAGAUAUCAGGAGGAACACCGAUGGCGAAGGCAGGUCUCUGGGCCACUACUGACGCUGAGAAGCGAAAGCAUGGGGAGCGAACAGG